UCACCAAGCGCCUCCUGCCUGGGGAGCUGCAGCGGUGCCCCGAGCCUUGCAGAGCGUGGGGCGCAGCUCGCCAGCAGCAGCAACAGCAGCGGCAGCAGCAGCGGCGGCAGCAGCGCCAGGAGCCGGGCGUUUAUUUAUACAGGAAGCUCAGGCGCGGCACUUCCUACUUCCCAGCAGAGCCGCACUUCAACUGCAGAAGACCCUCUAACAUUUCAUGUGAUACUGGCGGGUGGUGAUAAACUCCCUGAACCUGGAUUUUGUCCUUUUGUGUCAAGUGGUAAAAUGAAAACGCAGGCAAAUGAAAUCAAGACCGUCUUAGUUUACCUCACAAAAUACUGGCACACUUUUAU